CCUACGGGCGGCAGCAGUGGGGAAUAUUGCGCAAUGGGCGAAAGCCUGACGCAGCGACGCCGCGUGAGGGAUGAAGGUCUUCGGAUCGUAAACCUCUGUCAGCAGGGAAGAACGGUCACUGUGCUAAUCCGCAGUGUAUUGACCGUACCUGCAAAGGAAGCACCGGCUAAAUCCGUGCCAGCAGCCGCGGUAAUACGGAGGGUGCGAGCGUUAAUCGGAAUUACUGGGCGUAAAGCGCUCGUAGGGGGUAUGUCAAGUCAAGGGUGAAAUCCCCGCGCUAAACGUGGGAACUGCCUUUGUAACGGGGAAACUGGAGUGGGUGAGAGGAUAGUGGAAGUCCGGGGGUAGGGGUGAAAUCG
rnacentral:rRNA from 1 species